rnacentral:rRNA from 1 species
GAGUUUGAUCGUGGCUCAGAUUGAACGCUGGCGGCAUGCCUUACACAUGCAAGUCGAACGGCAGCAUGAUCUAGCUUGCUAGAUUGAUGGCGAGUGGCGAACGGGUGAGUAAUACAUCGGAACGUGCCCUGUAGUGGGGGAUAACUAGUCGAAAGAUUAGCUAAUACCGCAUACGACCUGAGGGUGAAAGUGGGGGACCGCAAGGCCUCAUGCUAUAGGAGCGGCCGAUGUCUGAUUAGCUAGUUGGUGGGGUAAAGGCCCACCAAGGCGACGAUCAGUAGCUGGUCUGAGAGGACGAUCAGCCACACUGGGACUGAGACACGGCCCAGACUCCUACGGGAGGCAGCAGUGGGGAAUUCUGGACAAUGGGCGAAAGCCUGAUCCAGCAAUGCCGCGUGUGUGAAGAAGGCCU